UUAGCCUAGAUACUAUAUUGGACCUAAUUAAUCUCAAUAUUACUUUGACAAAAACCCAUUUAACAUUUUACGGUUUCAAAAAAUUGAAUUUGAAUUUAUGAUUGUUCCUUUGCACGAAUACAAAUAUUUAAUUGUCAAAAUACAAAGUUAUUAUUACGUGUCAACCAAAAUUUCCUUGCAUGUUACCAUUUGUGAUUGAUUUUUCCUAGAUUCUCUCCGAAAUUAACUCAAUCUUCUCAUUUACCAAAUCUUUCCCAACAAACAAAUCCUUUUCAUAAACCUUCUCCGAUUUAUUCUCUCCACUUAUUCUCUCCAUUAACCCAUUCACUGAAACUUCUCAUUCAAUUUGAAUUUAGAAGAAAAUUAAUUUCAUAAUGGUCAAAAUUAGGUUUUGGCAAAAUAUCUGUCUACUAAAAAACUUUCAAUUUCUAAAUAAAAAAAAAUUGACGGCAAAAGAACCAUAAAGUUCUUAAUCGGAAAGAAGAUGAUAAUAGCGAUUUCGAAGAUUUGAAUAUCAUUGAUAAUCGAAAGGAUAUGGUUGUUGUUGAUAUGGUUAUUGUUGUAAAGUUUUUUUCUGUCAAACUGAUGAAGAAAACGAUGAACGAAGGCGGUUUGAGUUGAACGAAGAAAGCAGUCGUUGGAGUGGGACGAAGAUAGGCGAACGAUGAACGAAAACGAACGAUGAAUGAAGGCGCGGUGGCCGGCAACUGUUGUCUUUUUUUAUUGUAAUUGAGAUAUUAGCAAUGAUGUAAAAAUAAUUAAAGUUAACAAUAUGUUUUCUAAUGGUUAAUUAAUAGUUAACUAACUUUGUAUGA